ACCUCACCGGGGAGCUCGACCUUCCCGCCUGGGCCCGGGUUCCUUGGGUGCCGGCUCCAGGGUGCCCCCCUCCGGGGAGCAGGCAGAGGGAACCUCAAUCUGGAGGCUUUCCGCAGCGCUGCCCGCCUGCGGGAGCCUGACGCCCGACCCGCAGCCAAGUCCCGCCGUGCCUGGAAGGGCCAAUGUGACCCCGACGGUGACCUCUGUCCCAGUUCAACCGCCACCAACCUCCCUUAAAGCAAAAGUACUUCCUCAUCACCAAAAAUACCAGCCUUGUCCCACUUUAGCCCCUGAGGCCACAAAGGCAGGAAUAGCGAGGGUAUUUAAGCAACUGUAACCAAGUUGGUAGCAAGGCAGGGGAGUUGUUUGGUAAAAUUCCUUCCUCUUACAAAAUCCAGCUCGCCCUGUGCGAUCAAUCGCGUUAUCACUAAAUAUAGAGGGAAACCAGGAUUUGCGUUUUCAAGGGCGGAGAAAUCAGCCCAAAUACGCACUCCAGUCCCGGGGUGGGUGAGGGCCAGGGAGGGUGUACGUCAUUUUCCUUCCUACCACCCCCAUCCCUGAACAGUUCUAUAGCUACGUGUCUGUCAGUGUCUGCACGCUCUUGUUAACCCUGACGAAGCAGUGGUGCAUUGUCUGGUAAGCCACGUCAUCUUUAAAGACUAGCACGGUCUGUUGGGCAAAACACGCCUUCUAGUUCUUUCUAUUGAAACUUCAGGCAACUGAAAACCACAAACCCAGAUCAGGAGCCAGAAAGCUGGAAUCGAAAUGGAAGCUGACUCCAAGGAGCUGGAUUACUUUAUGACCAAAUAGAAGGCAGACUCAGCUAAAGAGGACAAAAGAAUAAAAAUCAACAGCUUUAUGUAAACACCAAGGGAAGCCUUAAGACCACACUACUUGCUGACAUGGAGAAUCCAGACGUGGAAUCGGCUUCAUUUAUAAAAAGAACACAGACUAUAGGGGCUGGGGAAUGUGUGGGAAGCAUUGCAGGGAAGGAGCCCUUCACAAGAAGAAGAAACAAAAUUUCUCCCCUUUCCCAUUCAGCAAUUUUACCGAGCAAAAGCACUCAAAGUUACAAAGCUCACUCCACUCAGUGAUGUAAUGGGUCAUGUAGCUGAUCCACUUAUUCCUGGGAAAAGCAGCACCUGUAGGCCGGGCCCUGAAGAAUCCCUCCUGGCUGUAAACAGCUCAGCUGGUUCACAGGCAGUAGCCACAUCUAUUAUUUCUCUUCUAUCCCUUGUUGAUAGAUGUUGAGGGCUGCUGAUUGCAGUCCCAUUUUGGAGGUGGUCUCCUGGGCUGAGUUAUUUCCAGCGACUCCGUGUUUCUUCAGUUCCCUGUGGGCUUGGGGAAGGGGAGAGUUGAAGACUCUGCAGCGGUAGCUGCUGUUUGACAGCUGCCAAGGAGCAGCUCCAAGAACAGCUGUUCCCGCGAUGGGACGGACCUAAUGGGAGACCACGAAUUGCAUCUCUUCCAGAAUGGGGUUUGAAAUAUGAAUUGGAGAAAGAACCAGAAUGAUGUAGUCUCACUUGGCUCCCCGCCCCUGAUGGAGCUGAGCUGGAAACAUAAUGGAAAGGGAUUAGCAGGAUUUCCAUAGAAGUCAGUACAGCCCGGCUGUGCACUGUGCACCAAAAAUAGAGGGAUAAAGGAAAAGACCUAAAACAAAGCAAAGCACAACAAAACACACCACUCAACUUGAAGUUAUGUAAACCCGCCAGCCAGAAACACUUCCUACGCUGUGUGUAUAAACUAGAUUCACUGAAAUAAACUCUCUGCCUUUGAGAUGCUGGUCUUAAUAAUUUAAAAAACCAAAAACUUACUAAGACAGUACUGUGAAGUGCUUGGUUCUGUUGCAAAAACAUCCUACUCUGGGAAAAUAGGCUGGGAGCAGUUUGAGGCGCCUGUCCUUGUUUCCGGUAAAAUGAAAUACACCAGUGGAAUUCACGAAGUUCCUGGAAAUGCGUAUUAUGGAAAAAACUAUACCUGGAUUUCAAACAUUGUUAUAACAAAAUUAAUUUACCUCUUAAUUCCAUUUUUCCACCCUCAUAUGAUCAAGACUUAGGUGGGCUGGCACUGUGGCGCAACGGUUUAACGCCCUGGCCUGAAGCACCGGCAUCCCAUAUGGGCACUGGUUCUAGUCCCAGCUGCUCCACUUCUGAUCCAGCUCUCUGCUAUGGCCUGGAAGAGCAGUAGAAGAUGGCCCAAGUCCUUGGGCCCCUACCACCCAUGUGGGAGAGCAGGAUGGAACUGAGUUUCUGGCUCCUGACUUCAGCCUGAUCCAGUCCUGUCUAUUGCAGCUGUUUGGAGUAUGAGUCAGUAGAUGGAAGAUCCCUCUCUCUCUCUUUCUCCCCCUGCCCCAUUCCCUAA